rnacentral:rRNA from 1 species
UACGGGGGGGGCAAGCGUUGUUCGGAAUUACUGGGCGUAAAGGGCGCGUAGGCGGCCAUCUAAGUCAGACGUGAAAUCCCUCGGCUCAACCGAGGAACUGCGUCUGAUACUGGAAGGCUUGAAUCCGGGAGAGGGAUGUGGAAUUCCAGGUGUAGCGGUGAAAUGCGUAGAUAUCUGGAGGAACACCGGUGGCGAAGGCGGCAUCCUGGACCGGUAUUGACGCUGAGGAGCGAAAGCCAGGGGAGCAAACGGG